GAUGAAUAUUUUAAUAGAUAUAAAUUAUUUGAAAGCUAUUACCAUUUUUUAAUUUGUCUACGAGAACAGUAACAAAGGGUUCCAUUGUUAUUAGGCAAAAUUGUCAAUUGAAAGGGAUUGCUAAGAAUAGUCAGUAUAUUUCCAACUUGUCAGUGAGUAACAUAGUAAAUUACGCUCGGAAGUAAUUCAGUUUGUUCACAUCACUUCUGACUGAUAGUACUAAAGAAGAAUAAUGAUUUCUUCAAAAUGGAAUCAAAAGUUAUGAAAAUUUUAUUCUGUUAAUAGAGUAAUUCUUUGAUUUAUCUAAAAGACAAACACUAAAUUAUACAGUAACAAAAAAUUUUAAGGCAGUUAAUUCAAAUAAUGCUGCAGUUUUAGUCGUUUUAAUUCUAUUAUUAUCAAACCAUAGUUUUAUCAUAUUUAUCUUGGCUAGUAACUGGAUUAUUUUUUUACGCCUAACAAGUAUACAUUGAACAUUUUCCCACAGAUUGCAAUCAUGGUCAAGAGUUAUUAUUAAGCUAUGUCAACAAACUUUUGUACGUCAUUUAUAUGCACGGUAAUUUUUAAUAAUUCAAACAAUACGCAAGAGGAGAUUAAUGUUAUCCAAAAAUAUAAAUAAAUAAUUUGUAAAUAUUUUUUCCAUCCGGUAAUAUUUUAUAUAUUUUCCAGCUUCCACAAACCCAGACCUCUGAUAAUUUUAAAAUUGUACGGCAAUAUCAUACUAACAUAAUAAUAUAAUAUAAUUUAUAUGGCUUAUAUCCUAAGAUAUUAUAAAUUGUAAAUAGAAGUCGUUAAUGAC